AAGAGGAAUUCUACCCAUGUUGCUCAGAAAUGCUGGAUAAAAUUUCUGCUGCAUUGUGAAACAAAUAGUUCAGGCAACAUAACCCUAUUGUUUUGUGUAUAAGGUUCAGUUGCCUCCAUAUAAUUUUCUGGUGCUGUAUCGGAUGCCCAGGGUUAUUCUACAUCCUUCCCAGGUGGUAUUCCAGAAAUGUCCAAGUCUCCCAGAGAUUAUUUAUCAAAUUUGUUCCCAUGUGGAUGUCACAAAUAUCAAUGGGCAUAUAAAAUGAUGCUUAAAUAAUUGAAGACUGUCUUAUCAUCUUUUGAGAUUAGACUGUUGCAGGUAUCUAACAACAGGACAGUUUUAAGGACAUAUGUUCUUCAUUGGGGUGAGGAAGGAAACAGUCUUGUCUCAAACAUUGGAUCCAGUUUUGUUAGUAAGAAACAAAACACAGAUUUGGAAUGCUCAUAUGGCUGCUUCCUUCAACUUGAGGUUUGGUCACAUCUGGUUACACUGUAUGGACUUUAGGACAGUUUUUCAUGAAAUGUGGCACAGGCAGCCCACAUAGCUCCCUCAGGACGCUGGGCAGGCUGUGGGCCAGCCGCCCUCUGCAGGGUCUGGGCUAGCACUGGCAGCGGGCUCUAAUCCUCAUCCUCGGGCACUGGCAUCACGCAAGGGGAGCAGAAGAAGCUGCACAGCACCCACAGCGCCCACCUGAAGUGGGAUGGAUGCUUCUUGUGGGGAGCCGUGGCCCUCAGCUGGGGAGCUGAGCGGCUGGGGAAGCUGUGCGGGGCAGGGAGCGGG
rnacentral:lncRNA from 1 species